rnacentral:lncRNA from 1 species
UGAGCAGACCAAAGGGGGAGGAUGUUGUACAGUGUAUGUGCAUGCACCCCAUACUGCGCACUGUGUACCUGGGGUGUGUGUGUGUUUAUGUGUGUGUAUGUGUGUGUGCCGGGGAAUGAAGGUGAACACAUCUGUAUGUGUGCUGCAGACACAUCCUGGUGUGUCCACAUGUGUGCAUGAGUCCAUGUGUGCGCAUUGGGGUGGGGUGGGCUCUAACAGCACUUUUGGUGUCCUUGCUGCAGGGGCCCUGUGAGGCCCAGGGUGGCUGCCUGCUUCCAGAAUCCUGUGUCAGCCAGGCCGGGUGGUGCAGCUUGGCUGACUGGGUUUGCAGGGCAGCAAGAGCACUGCUUAAAGGUUUUCCGAUCGAAGCUUUAAUGGAACGUUUAUUUAUUUAUCGAGGCCUCUGGCAAACCUGGGGAAUAAGCAAAGAGUGGGGAGAUGUGGGGGCCGAUACCCCAAAUCCCUGUUCUCUGAAGCAAGGGCAGGGUCCCCUACUCAAGGAGCUGAGGCCCAAGCAGUUUAUUUAUUGGGAGAGAGGGAGACAGACUGACAGCCAUGGAUGGGCUGGAGAAAGUCCCUUUUUAGAAGGUAGUACCAGCACCCUGGCCACAUGCAUGCAUGUGGAUCUGAGAUGGAGAGGGUGAGUGAGGGCCUUGGCUGAUAGGGUGGGCAGGAGGGGUAGAUGUGGGUCCCUCCUGUGGUUGGAGCGCUCCACUGCCCUUCCCACUGGCCAGUCUGCACUUUGGUUUAUUUUCUAACAGUUCUGUUCCCUCCUGCUUUGAUUUUUAAUAAAUAUUUUGAUGGUGUUAGGCUGGGUUGGGGACUCUGUGAGGCUAGUGUUGGGGGGAAUGUUCAUUCCCUGUACCUGACUUAAUUUCCUUUCAAUUUGUAACCCCUUGAGAAGAGGAAAACUGACCAAGUGAUGGGUAGGAGAUUAUGUGUGUUACCUAAGUACAGAAAAGUGUCAGUCUGCUUGUUGCGCACCUUCUGGUCAUUUCUGAGCAUUAGUAAAGAUGCAACACACAGUG